GAUGAACGCUGACAGAAUGCUUAACACAUGCAAGUCGAUGGGGAAGUGGUGCUUGCACCAUGGCAACCAUGGCGGACGGGUGAGUAACGCGUAAGGGACUUACCUGCAGGACUGGGAUAACAGGGGGAAACUCCUGACAAGACCGGAUAAUGUCCUGGAGCUGCAUGGCUUUAUGAUGAAAGGAGACGCCUGCGGAGAGCCUUGCGUCCUAUUAGCUAGUUGGUGAGGUAAUGGCUCACCAAGGCGAAGAUAGGUAGCCGGCCUGAGAGGGUGGACGGCCACAAGGGGACUGAGAUACGGCCCUUACUCCUACGGGAGGCAGCAGUGGGGAAUAUUGGACAAUGGGGGCAACCCUGAUCCAGCAAUUCUGUGUGCACGAAGAAGGUUUUCGGAUUGUAAAGUGCUUUCAGCAGGGAAGAAGUAAGUGACGGUACCUGCAGAAGAAGCGACGGCUAAAUACGUG
rnacentral:rRNA from 1 species